GAAAUGCGAUACGUAAUGUGAAUUGCAGAACCGUGAAUCAUCUAAUCUUUGAACGCAUAUUGCGCCUUCUGGUAUCCCGGAAGGCAUGCCUGUUUGAGAAUCGAUUAAAUUAUCAUUUCUUUGGAAAUGGAUGUGGGCAGUCAGCUUUACAGGCUGUUGCCUUGAAUGUAGCAUUAGCUUUGUGACUUGUUGGUGAAAAAGUAUGUGCUUACUUACUGCUUUUGCGGUAUUACUUGCAGCCUUUUGAUCCGCAAAGACAAGUCCGCUGUUAAUUCAAUCCAACAAACUUUGGUUUGACCUCAUACUAAUUUUUUUAGUAUCUUUGGUCUCAAAUCAGGCAAGAGUACCCGCUGAACUUAA
rnacentral:misc_RNA from 1 species